rnacentral:rRNA from 1 species
GCUGNNUUCUCAAAAAAAGAAUCUUAGUCCAACCUAAAGUUAUACAAAUUUACAUAAAUUUUCCCACUCACUUUAGAGCAAUUCAAAUGAGGUACAGCCCAUUUGAUACAGGAUCCAACCUUUACUAACGGGUAAUAUCUGACUCCACCCCCAAGUAGGCUUAAGAGCAGCCACCUUUUAAAAAGCGUCAAACCUUAACGUAUUAACACCAAUUCACAACCCCCCAUCAACCCCUUUCACCCUACUGAGAACUUCUAUAACAUUAUAGAACCUUUAAUGUUAAAACUAGUAACAAGAGAUACACCCUCUCUAUAAUGCAAACUCAAACCAGCAAGAACCUAUCACUGGUGAUUAACAGAAACAAAGUAGUAACUUUCUCAAGAAAACUCUACUCCCUCAACUGUUAACCUAACACAAGAGCAUCCCAAGAAAGAUUUAAAGAAAAAGAAGGAACUCGGCAAACAUAAAUCUCGCCUGUUUACCAAAAACAUCGCCUCUUGUCACCUAUAAGAGGUCCAGCCUGCCCAGUGACUCUUGUUCAACGGCCGCGGUAUCCUAACCGUGCGAAGGUAGCGUAAUCACUUGUCUUUUAAAUAAAGACUAGUAUGAAAGGCACCACGAAGAUUAAACUGUCUCCUCUCUCCAAUCAGUGAACCUAAUCUCCCCGUGAAAAAGCGGGAAUUUUUAUAUAAGACG